rnacentral:rRNA from 1 species
AACGAACGCUGGCGGCAGGCUUAACACAUGCAAGUCGAACGCAUCCUUCGGGGUGAGUGGCAGACGGGUGAGUAACGCGUGGGAACGUGCCCUUCAGUUCGGGAUAACCCAGGGAAACUUGGGCUAAUACCGGAUACGUGCGAGAGCAGAAAGAUUUAUCGCUGAAGGAUCGGCCCGCGUCUGAUUAGCUAGUUGGUGAGGUAAUGGCUCACCAAGGCGACGAUCAGUAGCUGGUCUGAGAGGAUGAUCAGCCACAUUGGGACUGAGACACGGCCCAAACUCCUACGGGAGGCAGCAGUGGGGAAUAUUGGACAAUGGGCGCAAGCCUGAUCCAGCCAUGCCGCGUGAGUGAUGAAGGCCUUAGGGUUGUAAAGCUCUUUCGUCCGGGACGAUAAUGACGGUACCGGAAGAAUAAGCACCGGCUAACUACGUGCCAGCCGCCGCGGUAAGAC